rnacentral:rRNA from 1 species
UACAGAGGUCUCAAGCGUUGUUCGGAUUCAUUGGGCGUAAAGGGUGUCGUAGGUGGCGCGGCUAAGUCGGGUGUGAAAUUCGAUGCUUAACUCCGAAACUGCAUUCGAUACUGCCGUGCUUGAGGACUGGAGAGGAGACUGGAAUUUACGGUGUAGCGGUGAAAUGCGUAGAUAUCGUAAGGAAGACCAGUGGCGAAGGCGGGUCUCUGGACAGUUCCUGACGCUGAGGCACGAAGGUCAGGGGGAGCAAACGGG